UAUAUUAUCUAACAGUCAUCAGAGAAAAUGUUUAUAUUAUCUAACAGUCAUCAGAGAAAAUGUUUAUAUUAUCUAACAGUCAUCAGAGAGAAUGUUUAUAUUAUCUAACAGUCAUCAGACAGAAUGUUUAUAUUAUCUAGCAGUCAUCAGAGAGGAUGUUUAUAUUAUCUAGCAGACAUCAGAGAGGAUGUUUAUAUUAUCUAGCAGACAUCAGAGAGGAUGUUUAUAUUAUCUAGCAGUUAUCAGACAGGUUGUUUAUAUUAUUUAUCACAUUGGAAAAUUAUAAUUCUGGACAGUUAAUUAAUUAGGUGUUGAUGCUGCUUUACACACUUAGCCCUUCUGGAUGCAGCACUACAAGUGUUUCUGCCCCUUUAGAGGCUUUUCUGAAGUUGUUUCUGCCCUUUCGGUGGCUUUUCUGCAAGUGUUUUUGCUCCUUUGGUGGCUUUUCUGCAAGUGUGGUUCCUACAGGAAUGCAGCACUGCAACUGCUUCUGCCUCUUCAGAGGUUUCUCUGCAGGUGUUGUCCUGGAUAGACUUCUAUCCAGAACAACACUUACAAUAUUUUCAUAGCGAGAUAGCAGCAGUAGCACAUUUUUAAUCAGUCAGUAGUAAUUAGUCAUCCUCCAUCGACAGCCUAUUGCCCUCAGUUACACUCUGAGAGACUCAAUUAUCCAAUAAACACAGGUGUCGGAAAUCAGACAUUUGGCUGCCGUACUUCUGACACUAUUGUCUGAUUUCCCACAAAAGUGUCGGACUGCCCCCAUGUUCUAAUUAGGUUAUAUUAGAUUAUUGCAUAUAAACUUGUACACAUGUGAAUUAUAUUGAUCAGUCACAAAGCUUAUUGAUUAAAUCAUAGUCAUAAGAAGAAAAUAGUCAUAACUGAAGGUGGAUAUGCUUUAUGUAUUAAAUUCAAACAUUC
rnacentral:lncRNA from 1 species